UACGUAGGGGGCUAGCGUUGUCCGGAAUCAUUGGGCGUAAAGAGCGUGUAGGCGGUCCGGUAAGUCCGCUGUGAAAGUCGGGGGCUCAACCCUCGAAUGCCGGUGGAUACUGUCGGGCUAGAGUGCGGAAGAGGCGAGUGGAAUUCCUGGUGUAGUGGUGAAAUGCGCAGAUAUCAGGAGGAACACCUAUUGCGAAGGCAGCUCGCUGGGACGUAACUGACGCUGAGGCGCGAAAGCGUGGGUAGCAAACAGG
rnacentral:rRNA from 1 species